UCCAGUCUCACUGAUCAUCAGUCCCAGCAGAACUCAACACUUCAUUACUGACCGUCUCUCUCUGAGCUGUGAGGGACAGAGUGAGUCUACUGGAUGGAGAGUGAGACGAUACACACACAGUGGGAAAGUGUCAGAUUGUUCAUCAGACAGAAGAUCAGUUACAGGAUCUACAUGCAACAUCAGCUCCAUCUCCACAUCCCACACUGGAGUUUACUGGUGUCAGUCUGAGUCUGGAGGGAGAAGUUCUCCUGUCAAUAUCACAGUGCACAAUGGUGAUGUGAUCCUGGAGAGCCCUGUUCAUGCUGUGACUGAUGGAAAUUCUCUGACUCUCCGCUGUUUAUAUCGCUCAAAGCCCUCAAACCUCACAGCUGAUUUCUAUAAAGAUGGAUUUCUCCUUCAGACCCAGACUACAGGAGAGAUGACCAUCAGUUCUGUCUCAAAGUCAGAUGAAGGUCUCUAUCACUGUAAACACUCAGAGAAAGGAGAGUCACCAAAGAGCUGGAUCUCAGUCAGAGGUCUGUCUGAAUCAGGUCUGUCUGAAUCAGGAGCUCCAUUCUCAGUCCUCAGUCUGCUCAGUAGUCUACUGGCAGUGUCUCCAUAUCUGCUGGUGUCCAUCAUACUGGGAGUUAAAUGCUACAGAGCUCAAGCUAAACCUGAUGAGGCGAGCAGAACGUAAGCGCUGAUAGAAGCUGGAACAUCCUGCUUAGUGCUGAAUACCAAGCUUCUACAUUAUGAUUUUAGGUCUGUCUGCUUUUAAGACCAUUUUAGAAAUCACUCAAUCCGGCAGGUCAGACUUUAAAAAUAACAGCUUUAUUCACUGAAACAUCCAGCAGGUCAUUUAUAGUCUCGGUGAGUGAAUGCUGUGGUGCUGUUAUUGAGCCUUUCAACACAAAUAAUGAGCAAAAUACUUUCUGAUUUUGUACUUAAUAAAUGUUUAUCUUAUGUUAUGUACAAACAUUUCCUAGUUUUAGUUUGAAUGCUUUUUUGUCUCCAUAAGCGUUGACCAUUUGCCUUGCUUUUUUAUUUUCACACCGCAACAAACAUUGGAUAUAAG